CCCCGGAUGACGCGUUUCCCUUCCGCUGGUGGCGUCGCCAGCUCCCCGCGCGGCCAGCUGUCUCCAUGACGGUGACCAGAGCCCGGGGACAGACGCUCGGUCGGGUGUCCGUCUUUCUGAAGGAGCCAGUGUUCAGCCACGGGCAGACAGAUCCAUCACGAUCAGCUGGUGUAGGCCAUCCACGACAGAUGAGUGCUAUACAAGCCUGCCUCCGCCGUGCUUGGAGAGCUGUCUCACCCAACGGCCGUUUGUGCCGCCACCAAUCGGCUGCGAGUAGCACACACCGAGUGCUACUCGGGGCCAGAUGGCCGCCGUGUCUUCCCUCAGGACAUGGUGGGCUCUGCACUACCUGAGGGGUCUCGGGCGAUAAUAGAGACGCAGUCCGAUGUGGCAGCCUCCACGUGGCGGAUUGCGGGUCAUGCUAAUAGCCACACAGAGCCACACCUCCGGCCCGUACCGACAUUGACUCACGACGAGUCUACUGAGUCAUCCAGA